GCCUCUGGGAGGCUGUGUGCACCUCAGUCACCACAGCUCACGGCCGUCCCCAGUUGAGUCCCCCUUCUGAGGACAAGUUUGAAACUGGGAAGGAGACACCCCCUGGUUCCGCCAGCACCUAUCCCACUGAUAGUGAUCCCCUGGCCUCCCCGAGCCUCCUUAGGCAAUGGCCACUGGUUUGUAGACAGAGAGUUUCUUGCAGCCUUGAAAAUUUUAUUCCCUAAGUGGGGACAGCUCUGGUAUUACUGCUUCUUUAAUUUGUUCCACAAAAAUUAUGCUGAAAUGGACCUGAAUCAGCCCUGGGUGUGCUUCUGUUGGCGCCUGCUGCUGAGGCCCGGCCUGCCCAUCGGCCUGUAGUACGCCAUCGAGGUCAUCAUGGAGCCAGCCAGCUUCUCUUCUCAUCAAGGAGGCAGAGACCCCUGGUGGAAGCCAAGAGUGACCGAAGAGGGCUUGCAUCACGUCACUCCAGUGGUUCCCUCCUUGUCCAAGUCCUCGUUUUAAGGGCAUGGCCCGUUGGCUCCAGCCGUUGGCUUCUGUUCAGGGUCCUUGCUCCCAUCAGAGGUGUUUGAUUUUGCUCCUGGGGCUGCGAUGGAGAACCUUUUGUGGCAGAUGGUGCUGCCUACAUCUCAUUGGUUCUCUGUACCUGUGCCCGUUGCGCAUGUUCACAGACAGGAGAGUCGCCAGCAAUACCUUGGCAGCCUUUAAAUGUGAAACGUCUGUUACUUGCGCUGGAGGCAGAGGCUGUGCAGGGAGCCUGCUUCUAAUCGUGGGCUCCCUUAUCUGUUACGGUUCCCUCCCCUCCUGUUCUAGAUGCUGAUUCGUUUUCUCACUGGCUGGUUAAUUGCUGUCUACUUAGGCCUCCAAGGCCAUAACUGUGCAACAUUUUAUCUGAGAAGGAAGGAAGGUCAGAAAGUGAUCACUGGCACCACCACUGUGGCAUUCCUGUCACACCAACACAGAAAUUCACAGCUCAUACUGUUCUCACCUGGGAAACUUGGGAAGGGCUGAUGAGUUUGGGGCAGAUCCUGAAUUGCAGCCACACUUGGCCUUCUAGAAGCUGAAGUUGUGCCCUCAAGUGGUCCUAAGUAGAAGUCCACUUGAGGUAUUUGCUGGCACACACCCUCAAGGGUGGUUCAGAAGGUCCUGAAACCUAAGGCAAAAGGCUGCUGGGGCAUGAACAGAACAGACCGUCUCAGGGGCAGCCAUGUAAGUGGCAAGCAGGGCUGGUCUCCCUCAAGGUGGUUCUUCAUUAAGUAAAGAUGGCUUCGUGACUAGUGUUUAGCUCCCAGAUUUAUAUUUGGGUUAAAAACUAACUUUUCAAUGUGGCAGUUUCAAAGGAUUACUUGAUGCAAAGUAUGUUUCCUUUCAAAGGGAUCUUGACGUGGUACCAGGACUGAGUCAUGAUUUGGGCAGAGGCAGUUAACACUGGGAAGCCCUGCCCCUCCCUAUGCCCCCUUCACUCCGGGGAACUGAAACCUACUCUGAGUCUCACAUCUCUAAACCUCAGUGCUGAGACCUAUGCAGUGGGACUAAUCUCAUCAAGAAUUUUCAGUUGAGGCCGGGCGCAGUGGCUCACGCCUGUAAUCCCAACACUUUGGGAGGCCGAGGUGGGCGGAUCACCUGAGGUCAGGAGUUGGAGACCAGCCUGGCCAACAUGGUGAAACCCCAUCUCUACU
rnacentral:lncRNA from 10 species